rnacentral:rRNA from 1 species
UGGGGAAUAUUGGACAAUGGGCGAAAGCCUGAUCCAGCCAUGCCGCGUGUGUGAAGAAGGUCUUCGGAUUGUAAAGCACUUUAAGUUGGGAGGAAGGGCAUUAACCUAAUACGUUAGUGUUUUGACGUUACCGACAGAAUAAGCACCGGCUAACUCUGUGCCAGCAGCCGCGGUAAUACAGAGGGUGCAAGCGUUAAUCGGAAUUACUGGGCGUAAAGCGCGCGUAGGUGGUUUGUUAAGUUGGAUGUGAAAUCCCCAGGCUCAACCUGGGAACUGCAUUCAAAACUGACUGACUAGAGUAUGGUAGAGGGUGGUGGAAUUUCCUGUGUAGCGGUGAAAUGCGUAGAUAUAGGAAGGAACACCAGUGGCGAAGGCGACCACCUGGACUAAUACUGACACUGAGGUGCGAAAGCGUGGGGAGCAAACA